rnacentral:rRNA from 1 species
CUCGUAGGCGGCCAACUAAGUCAGACGUGAAAUCCCUCGGCUUAACCGGGGAACUGCAUCUGAUACUGGAUGGCUUGAGUUCGGGAGAGGGAUGCGGAAUUCCAGGUGUAGCGGUGAAAUGCGUAGAUAUCUGGAGGAACACCGGUGGCGAAGGCGGCAUCCUGGACCGAUACUGACGCUGAGGAGCGAAAGCCAGGGAGCAAACG